rnacentral:hammerhead_ribozyme from 1 species
AUCCAGCUAAUGUGUCCCAGAUAAGACGAAACAAGUGUCUUGGAU